AUUGAACGCUGGCGGCAUGCUUUACACAUGCAAGUCGAACGGUAACAGGUUAAGCUGACGAGUGGCGAACGGGUGAGUAAUGCAUCGGAACGCGCCCGAUCGUGGGGGAUAACGCAGCGAAAGCUGCGCUAAUACCGCAUACGAUCUGAGGAUGAAAGCGGGGGACCGUAAGGCCUCGCGCGAUCGGAGCGGCCGAUGUCAGAUUAGGUAGUUGGUGGGGUAAAGGCUCACCAAGCCAACGAUCUGUAGCUGGUCUGAGAGGACGACCAGCCAAACUGGGACGGAGACACGGCCCAGACUCCUACGGGAGGCAGCAGUGGGGAAUUUUGGACAAUGGGCGAAAGCCUGAUCCAGAAAUGCCGCGUGCAGGAAGAAGGCCUUCGGGUUGUAAACUGCUUUUGUACGGAGCGAAAAGGCUCUCUCUAAUACAGGGGGCUCAUGACGGUACCGUAAGAAUAAGCACCGGCUAACUACGUGCCAGCAGCCGCCGCCG
rnacentral:rRNA from 1 species